UGCCAGCCGCCGCGGUAACACGGGGGGCGCAAGCGUUAUUCGGAAUUAUUGGGCGUAAAGGGCGCGCAGGCGGUUCGUUAAGUCGGUUGUGAAAUCCCUGGGCUCAACCUAGGAACUGCAUCCGAAACUGCUUGUCUUGAGUAAUGGAGAGGGUGGCGGAAUUCCCGGUGUAGAGGUGAAAUUCGUAGAUAUCGGGAGGAACAUCAGUGGCGAAGGCGGCCACCUGGACAUUUACUGACGCUGAGACGCGAAAGCGUGGGGAGCAAACAGGAUUAGAUA
rnacentral:rRNA from 1 species